CUCCUUUGACGUUAGCGGCGGACGGGUUAGUAACACGUGGGUAACCUACCUAUAAGACUGGGAUAACUUCGGGAAACCGGAGCUAAUACCGGAUAAUAUUUCGAACCGCAUGGUUCGAUAGUGAAAGAUGGUUUUGCUAUCACUUAUAGAUGGACCCGCGCCGUAUUAGCUAGUUGGUAAGGUAACGGCUUACCAAGGCGACGAUACGUAGCCUACCUGAGAGGGUGAUCGGCCACACUGGAACUGAGACACGGUCCAGACUCCUACGGGAGGCAGCAGAC
rnacentral:rRNA from 1 species